rnacentral:rRNA from 1 species
AGAGUUUGAUCCUGGCUCAGGAUGAACGCUGGCGGCGUGCCUAAUACAUGCAAGUCGAGCGAACGGACGAGAAGCUUGCUUCUCUGAUGUUAGCGGCGGACGGGUGAGUAACACGUGGAUAACCUACCUAUAAGACUGGGAUAACUUCGGGAAACCGGAGCUAAUACCGGAUAAUAUUUUGAACCGCAUGGUUCAAAAGUGAAAGACGGUCUUGCUGUCACUUAUAGAUGGAUCCGCGCUGCAUUAGCUAGUUGGUAAGGUAACGGCUUACCAAGGCAACGAUGCAUAGCCGACCUGAGAGGGUGAUCGGCCACACUGGAACUGAGACACGGUCCAGACUCCUACGGGAGGCAGCAGUAGGGAAUCUUCCGCAAUGGGCGAAAGCCUGACGGAGCAACGCCGCGUGAGUGAUGAAGGUCUUCGGAUCGUAAAACUCUGUUAUUAGGGAAGAACAUAUGUGUAAGUAACUGUGCACAUCUUGACGGUACCUAAUCAGAAAGCCAUGGCUAACUACGUGCCAGCAGCCGCGGUAAUACGUAGGUGGCAAGCGUUAUCCGGAAUUAUUGGGCGUAAAGCGCGCGUAGGCGGUUUUUUAAGUCUGAUGUGAAAGCCCACGGCUCAACCGUGGAGGGUCAUUGGAAACUGGAAAACUUGAGUGCAGAAGAGGAAAGUGGAAUUCCAUGUGUAGCGGUGAAAUGUGCAGAGAUAUGGAGGAACACCAGUGGCGAAGGCGACUUUCUGGUCUGUAACUGACGCUGAUGUGCGAAAGCGUGGGGAUCAAACAGGAUUAGAUACCCUGGUAGUCCACGCCGUAAACGAUGAGUGCUAAGUGUUAGGGGGUUUCCGCCCCUUAGUGCUGCAGCUAACGCAUUAAGCACUCCGCCUGGGGAGUACGACCGCAAGGUUGAAACUCAAAGGAAUUGACGGGGACCCGCACAAGCGGUGGAGCAUGUGGUUUAAUUCGAAGCAACGCGAAGAACCUUACCAAAUCUUGACAUCCUUUGACAACUCUAGAGAUAGAGCCUUCCCCUUCGGGGGACAAAGUGACAGGUGGUGCAUGGUUGUCGUCAGCUCGUGUCGUGAGAUGUUGGGUUAAGUCCCGCAACGAGCGCAACCCUUAAGCUUAGUUGCCAUCAUUAAGUUGGGCACUCUAAGUUGACUGCCGGUGACAAACCGGAGGAAGGUGGGGAUGACGUCAAAUCAUCAUGCCCCUUAUGAUUUGGGCUACACACGUGCUACAAUGGACAAUACAAAGGGCAGCGAAACCGCGAGGUCAAGCAAAUCCCAUAAAGUUGUUCUCAGUUCGGAUUGUAGUCUGCAACUCGACUACAUGAAGCUGGAAUCGCUAGUAAUCGUAGAUCAGCAUGCUACGGUGAAUACGUUCCCGGGUCUUGUACACACCGCCCGUCACACCACGAGAGUUUGUAACACCCGAAGCCGGUGGAGUAACCUUUUAGGAGCUAGCCGUCGAAGGUGGGACAAAUGAUUGGGGUGAAGUCGUAACAAGGUAGCCGUAUCGGAAGGUGCGGCUGGAUCACCU